UAAAACAUCCCAGCGCCCAGGCUGAACUCCAGACCAAUUACCAGACUCUCUGGGGGUGGGCCCAGGCACCAGCAUUCUGGAAAGCUCCGGGGGUGAUUCCAUUGUGCAGCCAAGGUUGAGAACCACUGCUCCUAGUCCUACAGCCAGAGAGAGCCACACCCACGGGAAGACCUCGGCCACUGUCCAAGAGUCCGAUCCAAUUCCUUUUGCAUUCCUUUUUCUUGAAGAGAGAUGGGACAAGAAUGAGGACCAGCAGGAGACCGCCUCCCCUCCCCUACUCUGGGAAGGAGCUGUUCUAGGUGUCGUGCAGCUGGAACAUAAAGACUCUUUCAGGGACCCCACAACCUCGCAGCUGGAGGACACAACCCCACAAGCCACAUUUAGUGGACACAAACAGUUUUGCAUUGUGCUGGAUUGUUCUACUGUGAGCCCCAUUACAUAGGGGGCCAUGUUUCCCAGAAUCGUCUUCCUUGUGUGAUUCCAGGUUAGAAUCGCCAAAAGUGAAGCUGUGGGGGCUGAGGGAGGAGGCAGUGAGGCGGCCCCGCUGAAGGUCCGAGGCAGUGAGAGACAGGCGCAGAGGUGCUGCCAGCUUCAAGCUUGCCCCACUCUGCUGUCCCCACGCCGCCUCCAGCCCUUCUUCCUGAACGCCGGCCUCGCUGACCCACAGUGACCCCAGUACACCAUCAAUGCUCCACUGUGGAUUCAACGAGGCAGCAGCUACAAUGAGCCGCCAACCUUCCAUGGGCUUCUGCACCAACGCCUCUGCGGUCUCACUCCUUCAGCCAGAUGUGACCAGCCUCCAGGCUUUCCUGCAAGCCCUCACCUGUGUCCACACUUCUAGUGAGCGCCUUCUCUCUGCCCUUUUAGGACCAUUUCCCCAGUCUCUCUUGCAAUUGGGGAAGGUCGAAUUCUCAUAAUGCCUGAUAACCUAACACUCCUCGUGGUCCUGCUUUUCUGAUUCCACCCUCACGGAUACACCGUAGAAGGGCAUGAGGAAGCCUUCCGGGAUGUUGGAAACGUUCUGUAUCUUCAUCUGGGUGGUGGUUACAUGGAAUCUCUCUCUAUAUUUUUAAAUUCAUCAAAGCUUAUACUUAAGAUUUGUACACUUUAUCAUUCAUAUGCUGCAUCUCAAUAACUGUUUUUUUAAAGAGUGACUUAAGAGACUUUAUCAGCCAAAUAAAUAAAUUAAAACACAACAAUAGGUUGAAUGCAAUCUAUUGCCUUCGUGCCUAGUGCAAUCUAAUGAACCUGCCUGGGCUGCAGACCCCCCAGCCCCAAGCCUGCUUGCCAGCCUCCUCCCAGGCCCCAGCACGAGCCUCUGCCCAGCUGGAGUGGACCCUGAGUGACCCUGGACGUCUGAGCAGCUCGCCCCCUGGGACGGCAGCCAUGACGGUCUGAGGAGAAAGAUGGGCAAAUCCUCCCAACAGUCACCUUUCAGAUGCAGCUGUGAUCAGCCCUGGAGAGACAAUUUUGCAGACAGGAUAAUAAUAGUGGCAGACACACAUUAGUUAUAUAUGUGUAUAUAAUGUAUUAUGUAAUAUCCAUAUGUUAAAUCCAUGCAACAAGCUACAGCAUUGUCCCCAUUUUAAAGAUGAAGAAAUUGAGGUCUUCAUCUGAAGAAAAAGUAGAAAACUUUCUCAAGGUCACACACACAGCAGGCGGCAGACCCCAGCUCAAACCCAGGUCUGCACGAUUUCAAAGCACAUGCCUGUAAGCAAUACAAUAUUCCUUGUCUACGUUAGUCCCCAAGCCCUGGAUUGCUCUAGCCACCAGGAUCCCAGCAAGGCUGAGCUUGCUUGCAAGUUUGCACCACCCCCUCCCACCAACUCGUUAGCAGUCUCCCUCAAGAACCUACUUCCAGUCACCAAACUAGAGAAACUAAAGUCCAGAGAAUAUCAAGAAACCGAAGCUUCCCACGCCCAACUCCACGGUUUCCUGACGUCAGAGUCUACCUCCACCACGGAGAUAAACAGCCAAGGACACUCGUCUGAGAAAUCCUUUGUCUCCUCUGCUGGAAGCAGCCCCAGACACAGGCCGAUGGGAAAACGUUGACCAAGAAGGUCAUAGCCCCCCUCCCCUAUCUAAAACCCUAAAUAAAAACCCUAUACCCAGUUCUUAAUGGGGAGCAAGCAAUUUGGGGGACACUGGCCCUUGCUUUGUACCCUCUGCUUGGCACCCAAGAGUCUGUUCUCGUUAUUGGGAUUGGCAUCGGGAUCAGAGACUGAACUUUCAGUGACAUUCCCAGCCAAUUCAGGGAUCGGAGGUCUUUCAUCUGUCCCCGCAGUUCUGUCUGGAAGAAUUCUAACCAUGUUCUUUGCUCAUCACCAAA
ensembl:lncRNA